GUAGGUGGCAAGCGUUGUCCGGGAAUUAUUGGGGCGUAAAGCGCGCGCAGGCGGUUCUUUAAGUCUGAUGUGAAAGCCCACGGGCUCAACCGUGGAGGGUCAUUGGAAACUGGAGAACUUGAGUACAGAAGAGGAAAGCGGAAUUCCACGUGUAGCGGUGAAAUGCGUAGAGAUGUGGAGGAACACCAGUGGCGAAGGCGGCUUUCUGGUCUGUAACUGACGCUGAGGCGCGAAAGCGUGGGGAGCAAACAGGAUUAGAUACCCUGGUAGUCCACGCUGUAAACGAUGAGUGCUAAGUGUUAGGGGGUUUCCGCCCCUUAGUGCUGCAGCUAACGCAUUAAGCACUCCGCCUGGGGAGUACGGCCGCAAAGGCUG
rnacentral:rRNA from 1 species